UCACUGCCAAAAGGAGAUUUGCCCAGCUGAGCUGAGUUUACUAAAUGGAGCUGAUAUUGACUAUAAAAUGCCAAAGGAGAUUUGCCCAGCAGCUGAAGAAAGCCAGUAAAUGCCAAAGGAGAUUUGCCCAGCAGGUGAAGAAAACUACUAAAUGCCAAAGGAGAUUUGCCCAGCAGAGUGGAAAACUGCUAGAUGCCAAAGGAGAUUUGCCCAGCAGAGUGAAGCAAACUGCUAGAUGCCAAAGGAGAUUUGCCCAGCAGAGUGAAGCAAACUGCUAGAUGCCAAAGGAGAUUUGCCCAGCAGAGUGAAGCAAACUGCUAAAUGCCAAAGGAGAUUUGCCCAAGAUGGAAAAUCUUAACCCCGAUAGACAUUUUCCCAAGAGAGAAAAAGUUAACUCAAAGCAUAUUAAGUACUUGCCAAAUGAGAUUUGCCCAGAAAGUGAAGAAAUUCUA
rnacentral:lncRNA from 1 species